rnacentral:rRNA from 1 species
UACAGAGGUCUCAAGCGUUGUUCGGAUUCAUUGGGCGUAAAGGGUGCGUAGGUGGCGGGGCAAGUUUGGUGUGAAAUCCCGGGGCUCAACCCCGGAACUGCACUGAAUACUGCCUUGCUUGAGCACUGGAGAGGAGAUUGGAAUUUACGGUGUAGCAGUGAAAUGCGUAGAUAUCGUAAGGAAGACCAGUGGCGAAGGCGAAUCUCUGGACAGUUACUGACACUGAGGCACGAAGGCCAGGGGAGCAAACGGG